UAGGCCUAACACAUGCAAGUCAGGGGCAGCAUAGAGUAGCAAUACUUGAUGGCGACCGGCGCACGGGUGAGUAACACGUAUGCAACCUACCUACAGUCAAGGGGGAAUAACCCGGAGAAAUUCGGACUAAUACCGCAUAAGUACAGGGAUGCCGCAUGGCAAUAUUUGUUAAAGAUUUAUCGGAUGUAGAUGGGCAUGCGUUCCAUUAGCUGGUUGGUAAGGUAACGGCUUACCAAGGCAACGAUGGAUAGGGGAACUGAGAGGUUUGUCCCCCACACUGGAACUGAGACACGGACCAGACUCCUACGGGAGGCAGCAGUGAGGAAUAUUGGUCAAUGGACGAGAGUCUGAACCAGCCAAAUCGCGUGAAAAGGAAGACUGCCCUACGGGUUGUAAACUUCUUUUGUACAGGAAUAAAAGACAUUACGUGUAAUGUAUUGCAUGUACUGUACGAAUAAGCAUCGGCUAACUCCGUGCCAGCCGCCGC
rnacentral:rRNA from 1 species